CGGCGAGAUCGGCAGGUGCAUCCGGCGUUCCCGGCAUGUGGUUCUGUCACGUCUGAGAGGUGGUUCCGGCAUGAGGGGCAGGUGAUCCCGUAGAGUCCGCCAAGUGGUUCUGGCAUAGCCAGCAGGUGAUUUUGGUGUGUCCGGCACAUUGUUCUGGCACAUCUGAGAUGUCGUUCCGGCCUGCCCGGCAGAUGAUGCAGGAGUGUCUGCCAAGUGGUUCUGGCGUACUCGGCAGGUGAUUUUGGCGUGUCUGGCAGGUGCUUCCGGCAAGUCGAGCAGGUGGCUCCGGAGUGCUCGGCAGGUGGUUACGGUGUGUCCGGCAGGUGGUUCCGGUCUGUCCAGUAGGUGGUUCCGUUGUGUUCGGCAUGUGGUUCUGGCACAUCUGAGAGGUGGUUCUGGCAUGCCCGGCAGGUAAUUCUGGAGUGUCCACCAAGUGGUUCUGGAGUAGCCGGCAGGUGAUUUUGGCGUGUCUGGCAGGUGGUUUUGGGGAGUGGAUCAGGUGGUUCCAGCAUACUCAGCAGGUGGUUCCGGCGUGUCCGGCACAUGGUUCUGACACGUCUGAGAGGUGGUUCCGGUAUGCCCGGCCGGUGAUCCCGGAGAGUCCUCCAAGUGUUUCUGGCGUAGCCAGCAGGUGAUUUUGGAGUGUCCAGCAAGUGAGUCUGGCAAUUCGAGCAGGUGGUUCCGGCGUGCUUGGCUGGUGGUUCAGUCAGGUAUGGCAGGUGGUUCUGGUCUGUCCGGGAGAUGGUUCCAGCGUGUCCGCCACGUGGUUCCAGCACGUCGGUGAGGUGGUUCCAGCAAGGCCAUCAGGUGAUUCCAGAGAUUCUGCCAAGUGGUUGUGGCGUAGCCGGCAGGUGAUUUUGGCAUGUCCGGCAGGUCGUUGCGGCGAGUCGAGCAGGUGGUUCCGGCAUGCUUGGCAGGUGCUUCCGGUAUCUUUUGCACGUGGUUCUGGCAUGUCUGAGAGCUGGUUUCGGCAUGCACGGCAGGUGGUUCCGGUCUGUCCGGCAGGUGGUUCAGGCAUGUCCGGCAGGCGUUUUUGCAUGUCUGGUGGUGCUUCCGGGGAGUCGAGGAGGUGGUUCCGGCGUGUCCGGCAGGUGGUUCUGGGGUGUCUGGCACAUGGUUCUGCCACGUCUCAGACGUUGUGCCAGCAUGCCCUUCACGUGAUUCCAGCUUGUCCACCAAGUGGUUCUGGAGUAGCCAGCAGGUGAUUUUGGCGUGUCCGGCAGGUGGGACCGGCGAGUCUGGCAGGUGGUUCCGGUCUGUCUGGGAGGUGGUUCCCGCAUGUCCAGCACGUGCUUCUGGCACGUCUGAGAGGUUGUGCUGGCAUGCCUGACAGGUGAUUCCGGAGUGUCCGACAAGUGGCUCUGGGGUAGCCUGCUGGUGAUUUUGGGGUCUCCGGCAGGUGGUUCCAGUGAGUCGAGCAGGAGGUUUCGGCGAGCUCGGCAGGUGUUUCCAGAAUCUCCAGCAUGUGUUUCUUGCACGUCUGAGAGGUGGUUCCGGCAUGCCCGUCAGGUGAUUCAGGAUUGUCCACCAAGUGGUUCUGGCAUAGCCGGCAGGUGAUUUUGGCAUGUCCGGCAGAUGGUUCUGUGGAGUGGAUCAGGUGGUUCCUGUGUGCUCGACAGGUGGUUCAGGAGGGUCCGGCAGGUCGUUCAGGUCUGUCUGGGAUGUGGUUCCGGUGUCUCAGGCACAUGGUUCUGGCACGUCUGAGAGGUGGUUCCUCAUGCCCGGCAGGUGAUUCCGGAGUGUCUGAAAAGUGGAGUAUCUGGCAGGUAAUUUUGGCGUGUCCGGCAGGUGGUUCUGGGGAGUGUGUCAGGUGGUUCUGGCAUACUUGGCAGGUGGUUCCGGCGUGUCCGGCAUAUGGUUGUGGCAUGUCUGAGUGGUGGUUCUGGCAUGCCCGGCAGGUGAUCCCGGAGAGUCCUCCAAGUGGCUCUGGCGUAGCCGACAGGUGACUUGGGCGUGUCUGGCACGUGAUUCAGGCGAGUUGAGCAUGUGGUUCCGGCGUGCUCGGCAGGUGGUUCAGUCAGGUCUGCCAGGUGGUUCCGGUCUGUCCGGGAGGUGAUUCCGGAGUGUCCGACAAGUGGUUCUGGCGUAGCCAGCUGGUGAUUUUGGGGUGUCCGUCAGGCGUUUCCGGCGAGUCGAGCAGGUGGUUCUGUUGUGCUCGGCAGGAGCUUCCGGCGUCUCCGGCACGUGUUUCUGGCACGUCUGAGAGGUGGUUCUGACAUGUCUGGCAGGUGAUUCUGGAGUGUCCGACAAGUGGUUCUGGCGUUGCCGGCUGGUGAUUUUGGCGUGGCCGGCAGGUGGUUCCGGCGAGUCAAGCAGGUCGUUCCAGCGUGCUAGGCAGGUUGUUCUGGUGGGCCGGGCAGGUGGUUACGGUCUGUACGGGAGGUGGUUCCGGCGUGUCCGGCACAUGGUUCCGGCACGCCUGAGAUUUGGUUGCGGCAUGCCCGGCAGGUGAUUCCGGAGUGUCCGACAAGUGGUUCUGGCGUAGGCCGGCUGGUGGUUUUGGCAUGUCCGGCAGGUGGUUCCGGCUAGUUGAGGAGGUGGCUACGGCAUGCUCGGCCGGUUGGUUCCAGUGUGUCCGGCAGGUGGUUCCCUUCUGUCCGGUAGGUGGUUCCGGCGUGUCGGGCACGUGGUUCUGGCACGUCUGAGAGGUGGUUCCGGCAUGCCCGACAGGUGAUUCCGGAGUGUCCGCCAAGUGGUUCUGGCCUAGUCGGCAGGUGAUUUUUGCAUGUCCGGCACGUGGUUCUAUGGCGUGGAUCAGGUGGUUCCGGCAUGCCCGGCAGGUGAUUCUGGAGUGUCCGACAAGUGGUUCUGGCAUAGCCUGCUGGUGAUUUUGGGGUGACUGGCAGGUGGUUCCGGCGAGUCGAGCAUGUGGUUCCUGCGUGCCGGCAGGUGGUUCCGGGGUGUCCGGCAGGUGGUUUCCGUCUGUCCGGGAUUUGGUUUCGGUGUCUGAGGCACAUGGUUCUGGCACGUCUGAGAGGUGGUUCCGGCAUGCCCAGCAGGUGAUCGCGGAGAGUCCAACAUGUGGUUCUGGCGUAGCCAGCUGGUGAUUUUGGCGUGUCCAGUAGGUCGUUCUGGCGAGUCUAGCAGGUGGUUCCGGCAUGCUCGGCAGGUGGUUCCGUGGUUUCCGGCAAGUGGUUUUGGUCUGUCCGGAAGGUGGUUCCGGCAUGUCCGGCACGUGGUUCUGGCACGUCUGAAAGGUUGUGCUGGCAUGCCCGGCAGGUGGCUCCAGACUGGCAAGUGGUUCUGGUAUAGCCGGCAGGUGAUUUUGGUGUGUCUGGCAGGUGGGUCCAGCGAGUCAAGCAGGUGGUUCCGGCGAGUCUGGCAGGUGGUUCUGGUCUGUCCAGGAUGCUGUUCCGGUGUGUCCGGCAUGUGCUUCUGGCACGUAUGAGAGGUUGUGUUGGCAUGCCCAACAGGUGAUUCCGGAGUGUCCAGCAAGUGGUUCUGGUGUAGCCAGCUGGUGAUUUUACCAUGUCCGGCAGGUGGUUCCGGCGAGUCGAGCAGGUGGUUUCGGCGAGCUCGGCAGGUGCUUCCGGCAUCUCCGGUACGUGGUUCUGGCACGUCUGAGAGGUGGUUCCGGCAUGCCCGGCAGGUGAUUCCAGAGUGUUCGGCAAGUGUUUCUGGCGUAGCUGGCAGGUGAUGUUGGCGUGUCCGGCAGGUGGUUCUGGGGAGUGGAUCAGGUGGUUCAGGCAUGCUCGGCAGGUUGUUCAGGCGUUUCGGGCAGGUUGUUCCGGUCUGUCCUGUAGGUGCGUUUGGUGUGUCCCACACAUGGUUCUGGCAUAUCUGAGAGGUGGUUCCAGCAUGUCCGCCAGUUGAUCCCAGACUAUCCCCCAUGUGGUUCUGGCGUAGCAGGCAGGUUAUUUUGGCGUGUCCAGCAGGUGGUUCCGGUGAGUCGAGCAGGUCGUUCUGGCGAAUUGAGCAGGUGGUUCCGGCGUGCUCGGCAGGUGCUUCCUGCGUCACUGUUAUGUGGUUCUGGCAUGUCUGAGAGGUGGUGCAGGCAUGCCCUGCAGGUGAUUCCCGAGUGUCCGCCAAGUAGUUUUGGCAUAGCCAGCCGGUGAUUGUGGAGUGUCUGGCAGGUGUGUCCUGUGAGUCGAGCAGGUGGUUCCGGCGAGCUCGGCAGGUGCUUCCGGCAUCUUCGGCACGUGGUUCUGGCACGUUUGAGAGGUGGUUCUGGCAUUCCUGACAGGUGAUUCCGGAGUGUCUGGCAAGUGGUUCUGGCAUAGCCAGCAGGUGAUUUUGGCAUGUCCGGCAGGUGGUUCUGGUGAUUUGAGCAGGUGGUUCUAGCGAGCUUAGCAGGUGCUUCCGGCGUCUCCAACAGGUGGUUCCAGUCUGUCCGAGAGGUGGUUCCGUCAUGCUGGGAAGGUGCUUCCGGCAUCUCCGACACAUGCUUCUAGCAUGUCUGAGAGGUGGUUCGGGCAUGCCCGGCGGGUGAUGCCACAGUUUCCGACAAGUGGUUCUGGUGUAGCCGGCAGGUGAUUUUGGCGUGUCCGGCAGGUGGGUCCUGUGAGUCGAGCAGGUGGUUCUGGCAUGCUCGGCAGGUGGUUGAGGCGUGUCCGGCAGAUGGUUCCAGUCUCUCCAGGAUGUGGUUCCAGCGUGUCCGGCACAUGGUUCUGGUAUGUCUGAGAGGUUGUUCCGGCCAGCCCGGCAGGUGACUCCG
rnacentral:lncRNA from 1 species